GGUGGCGUGAUGUAGAGGUUAUCAUUCCAGAUUUUGAAGUCAUUCAAACUUCUGGCCACCCCGGUUCGAGUCCGGGCGCGACCU